rnacentral:tRNA from 1 species
UCUAAUAUGGCAGAUUAGUGCAAUGGAUUUAAGCUCCAUAAAUAAAAAGUUAACCUUUUUUGUUAGAA